rnacentral:rRNA from 1 species
GACGAACGCUGGCGGCGUGCUUAACACAUGCAAGUCGAACGGAAAGGCCCUGCGUUUGUGGGGUGCUCGAGUGGCGAACGGGUGAGUAACACGUGAGUAACCUGCCCUUGACUUUGGGAUAACUUCAGGAAACUGGGGCGAAUACCGGAUAGGAGCUCCUGCUGCAUGGUGGGGGUUGGAAAGUUUCGGCGGUUGGGGAUGGACUCGCGGCUUAUGAGCUUGUUGGUGGGGUAGUGGCUUACCAAGGCUGGGACGGGUAGCCGACUUGAGAGGGUGACCGGCGCCAAUGGAACGGGGACACGGGCCAGAGUACUAAGGGAGGCAGCAGGAGGGAAUCUUCGGCAAUGGGCGGAAGGCUGACGGAGCAACGCCGGGUGAGAGAUGAAGGUCUUCGGAGCGGAAAACGCUGUUACGAGGGAAGAACAAAUGUGUAAGUAACUAUGCACGGCGGGACGGUACCUAAUCAGAAAGCCACGGCUAACUACGUG